UAUAAUGCUCAUUCUUUAGAACGAAUACAUUUUUUGCCAUUUACUCAAAGUUUCCAAGGAGAGCAACAGUAUGAGUUGAUAACCAAAUUUUUUGAGGUCUUGCUUGGGCAGGGCU
rfam:Chlorocebus sabaeus isolate 1994-021 chromosome 25, whole genome shotgun sequence.